GGUUGUCGUCAGCUCGUGUCGUGAGAUGUGGUUAAGUCCGCAACGAGCGCAACCCUCGACCUUAGUUGCCAGCAUUCAGUUGGGCACUCUAAGGUGACUGCCGGCUAAAAGUCGGAGGAAGGUGGGGAUGACGUCAAAUCAUCAUGCCCCUUAUGACCUGGGCUACACACGUGCUACAAUGGGCGGUACAAAGGGCUGCGAACCCGCGAGGGGGAGCGAAUCCCAAAAAGCCGCUCUCAGUUCGGAUUGCAGGCCGCAACUCGCCUGCAUGAAGCCGGAAUCGCUAGUAAUCGCGGAUCAGCAUGCCGCGGUGAAUACGUUCCCGGGCCUU
rnacentral:rRNA from 1 species